UGAUGACAGAGAAGAUCUACAGCAGAGGAGACGUCACCUGGAGGCUCUGGAUGUGACAGCGGAUGAUCUAGCAAUCAAGUUCCACAGACAAGGUGAAAAACCCAAAUGGAAUUACCGCCAAAGACGCCUCUAUUUUCAAGACCCAGAGCCACCACAUCAGCUUGAACAUAAUUUUCAUCAUAACCAUUCUGCGGAGACGAGUGGUGGCCAGAACAAGAGACCGAUUCCAAUCAAAGAAGACGUCACCUUUGAUUCACUCUGAGAAUUCGCCCUGUGAGUCAAUAAAUAUGCACUUUUAAUCACUUAUGGUUUGCAGAAUCUGUGUAGUGCUAGUAUUUUCCACUAUAUGGUCAUAUUGGUCUUUGUUCAGUGG